rnacentral:rRNA from 1 species
CACGUAGGGGCCAAGCGUUGUCCGGAUUUAUUGGGCGUAAAGAGCUCGUAGGCGGUUCAGUCAGUUGGGUGUGAAAACUCCGGGCUUAACUCGGAGAGGCCACCCAAUACUGCUGUGACUUGAGUCCGGUAGGGGAGUGGGGAAUUCCUGGUGUAGCGGUGAAAUGCGUAGAUAUCUGAAGGAACAUCAGUGGCGAAAGCGACUUCCUGGACCAAUACUGACGCUCAUGUGCGAAAGCGUGGGGAGCAAACAGG